rnacentral:misc_RNA from 1 species
CCGAGUUCAUGCCCUUACGGGUAGAUCUCCCACCCUUUGUAUACUAUACCUUUGUUGCUUUGGCGGGCCGCCUAGCUACUGGCUUCGGCUGGUAAGUGCCCGCCAGAGGACCCAAACUCGUUUGUUUAGUGAUGUCUGAGUACUAUAUAAUAGUUA